CUAUGUGUUUCCUCAAAUAACACCAACUUCCUUCCUUUAAAAGACAAAAAAAACCUCAAUGCUGCAAAUAUAUGAGAUAGUGUAAAGACUGCUAGCGUUACAUGAGUAACAGUGAAUUUGCACCCAAACCAAAAGUAGAUGAACAUGGCACAAGAUAUUGAGCUUUCUGACUAUGCCACUAUACAUGAGACUAGGAGAACUGCAACAAACAGCGGGGACACUGAACAGUCAGAGAGAAGACUUUUCAGAAUCGGGAUUUUAACUUUAGGAGUCUUGUGUAUCAUACAAGCCACUCUCAAUAUUUCCCUGCACCUUGCCUUUUAUUCAAAAGAAGAUACAGAUCAGUUUCUUCUCAGUUCCGUGAUAGCCGAAGCGUGCCAGGCUGACCAGUGUCAACAGAAUUCAGCCCAGUUAUGUCCCUGCUUCAAUGACCUGCUGAGAAGACUACUGAGAGACAAAAAGGCCUUGGAAACAGAGAGAGACCUGUUACUCAAAAAAAUCUCUCAAAUGACUGGGAAUUGUGACUAUUUCCAGGAGUCUGGGGAUGGUGCCCUGGACGAUUCCUUUUCAGAGAGUAGCGGGUACAGCUGAAAUUCAGUGACCACUCAAUGCAUUGGGAACAAGAGCGUAGGGCUUCAAGCGUGUAACAGCAGUUUGUCCUCUGUUGGGUUAGUCUGUUUAACAUUUGAUCAGCUAAAAAGACUCUAAGGCCAAUACCUACCAUAUUUUGAUGUGAUGACACAUUUUUGGGUUGUAGCGGUAAAUAACUGCAAUCAGUUACUGUAUCGCUGAAAAUAUUUUACUUUUACAGUGACCAAUCUGUAUAUGUAAGUCAAAAGUAAUUACACAAUUGUAUAUUCAAACAUUAUUUAGUGACAUGCCACCACAUUACCCUGCCAUCUCACACACUCUGGAUUGAGGACCCUGGUUUUAAAGGUGCUAAAGUCAAUAUUUUUAUAUUAACAAUGGAUCAAAUGAUUAUGUGUAUGUGAAUGAGGUCACUUUAACCCACAAACAAUUAACACCCAACUAUGUAGUUUCCAUCGACUCUAUGCAGCUCUGUAGCAUCUUUCAGUUCAUUAUUUUGGUUUUACUGGCCACAACUUACUGUUUUGGUUCACACGAGUUUUCAGCCGCAGCAGGCAGCUGUUUUCAGUUGAACAGCUUUGACAAACAUGCACAGUAUGUUAUCUGCCCACCACCAAACAGCGGAUAAAGUUAGACGAGCUAGAAAAGCUGGAUAUUUCCCUGAAGCCCUUUGUGGAGACCAAACCAGAGGGAUAGUGAAUGUUAGACUAAGGUGGACCCAAACUCCAAAUAAAUACUGAUUUGAUAAUAUUUACAUUUUCUGGGCCAAAAAUCAAUAAAUGCAGAUUUAAAUUGAAUUUUGUGCAAGACUGUAAUAUUGUUGUGAAAUGCAUUUAUUUUUUUUAACCACAUCAGCUAUUUGGAUUUUCUUACUUUCAAAUGAUUCCCUGGUUAUAUCUAUCUAAUAAAGACUUUAGAGCCCAGAGGGGAAAUGUUUUGAA